GACCAUUCAAUGGCUGUCUUUUGUGAGCCCUUUAAUGAAAUAAGUGAGACCAUUGCUCCAGAACCAAUGAUCACAGAUCAAUCAAGAGAAUAUCUGCCAGCUGCCAUUGAAAGUCAGAUGUUGUCUACUCCAUCCCAUCCAGCUGCCAUUGAAAGUCAGAUGUUGUCUACUCCAUCCCAUCUACGCCCAUCUUUCAAUAGGCACUUCUCACAGAAGACUUUUUCUGAAGAGGAGAAGGUGCAACUGUUAGCAUCUCCUGUUCCUUCAUCAGUUUCACC
rnacentral:lncRNA from 1 species